rnacentral:lncRNA from 1 species
AGGGUCUUGUAAAAGGACAAUUCUAUCCAUUAUUUUAAAUUAAACUAAAAUGAAGAAAAAUACUAAAAAAAUUAAAUUAAAAUAGGCUUAAUUUAUUUUAUCAUCAUCUGCACUGACAAACUCAUGAAUAAUAUUCCCACCUCAAUAAAGUUUCGCCAUAGCCAUUAAGAAACAUUGUCAGGUUUAGGAACGAUUAAAUGAGUUCCAUUUGAACCACAUGUAUUGCAUGCCUCACAAUCAUUGAUGUCCAAGUUGUGACAUCCUCACUUUUCAUGCUCUCGGACUCUCAGUGCAUUUUUCAGGCUUAAAUCUGUCUUCAACUAUCUUUUUCGUCGAAUAUAAGCAUGAAUCCACUCAAUGCGCACACGGAAAGAGAGACUGUAAGAGUAACUUGAUCAAGCUCCACAUUAUCCGUUUGCAUUUCUCUGAACAUCUGUAUAGCUUUGUUUGAGUCCUGAUUAUCAAAACAGGCAGCAAUCAACGCUGUCCAGCGAAUGACAUUCUUGCUGGGAAUUACCUCAAACACUUGGUGUGCAUCAUCUAGAUUUCCCGCCGAUUCAGGAAGCUUAAAGGACUAUUAUAAAAUUAUUGACAAGGUCAUGAAUUCGCAUUCCUUUUCUAACCAAGGAUUUUCGAAUGCGUGCUUUGGUGGAUUACAAAAGAAAGUAGCUAUCGAUUAUAGAAGGCUUUGUUGUCGACAACUCUUUGAACAGCGAAAGGAUUUUUAUGGGAUUGGACUUGAGAUCAUUUUUAAGGGUUUGAUUGUUUUUCUUUCUUUCUUGAGGUGUGUAUGGAAGUGAAUACGAGGUUGUUUUCUACGGAAGACACAUUUUAAGAAUCUAAUCAUCUGGGGUUAUAAGACAAAGAGC